rnacentral:pre_miRNA from 1 species
AGUGGAAUAACUGGGUCAAAUUGUAGCUCCAUUCCAAUUUUCUGAGGAAUCUCCAUAGUGAUUUCCAGAGUGGUUGCACCAAUUUGUAGUCCCACCAGCAAG